rnacentral:rRNA from 1 species
UACGUAGGGGGCAAGCGUUGUCCGGAAUCAUUGGGCGUAAAGCGCGUGUAGGCGGCCCGGUAAGUCCGCUGUGAAAGUCGGGGGCUCAACCCUCGAAUGCCGGUGGAUACUGUCGGGCUAGAGUGCGGAAGAGGCGAGUGGAAUUCCUGGUGUAGCGGUGAAAUGCGCAGAUAUCAGGAGGAACACCAAUUGUGAAGGCAGCUCGCUGGGACGUGACUGACGCUGAGACGCGAAAGCGUGGGGAGCAAACAGG